ensembl:misc_RNA
GCCGACGAGCCCCGGGGGCCCCGACGUACGGCGAAGGGGGCGGGGCUAGAGCGGCCUUGGCAACCAUUAGAUGGCCUCGGGCUGGGCGGCUUGCAAACUACAUUUCCCAGAGGGCCCCGCGUGCCGCGGGACGGAAGGGGAAGCGCCUCGGGUGCAGUGCGCAGACGCGAGAGCUUCCUCUGGUUAUAUAAGAGCGGU